rnacentral:rRNA from 1 species
UNUGACUUGAGUGCAGAAGGGGAGAGUGGAAUUCCAUGUGUAGCGGUGAAAUGCGUAGAUAUAUGGAGGAACACCAGUGGCGAAAGCGGCUCUCUGGUCUGUCACUGACGCUGAGGCUCGGAAGCGUGGGUAGCGAACAGGAUUAGAUACCCUGGUAGUCCACGCCGUAAACGAUGAGUGCUAGGUGUUAGGCCCUUUCCGGGGCUUAGUGCCGGAGCUAACGCAAUAAGCACUCCGCCUGGGGAGUACGACCGCAAGGUUGAAACUCAAAGGAAUUGACGGGGGCCCGCACAAGCGGUGGAGCAUGUGGUUUAAUUCGAAGCAACGCGAAGAACCUUACCAGGUCUUGACAUCCCGAUGCUAUUCUUAGAGAUAGGAAGUUACUUCGGUACAUCGAAGACAGGUGGUGCAUGGUUGUCGUCAGCUCGUGUCGUGAGAUGUUGGGUUAAGUCCCGCAACGAGCGCAACCCUUAUUGUUAGUUGCCAUCAUUAAGUUGGGCACUCUAGCGAGACUGCCGGUAAUAAACCGGAGGAAGGUGGGGAUGACGUCAAAUCAUCAUGCCCCUUAUGACCUGGGCUACACACGUGCUACAAUGGUCGGUACAACGAGUUGCGAGCCGGUGACGGCAAGCUAAUCUCUGAAAGCCGAUCUCAGUUCGGAUUGGAGGCUGCAACUCGCCUCCAUGAAGUCGGAAUCGCUAGUAAUCGCGGAUCAGCACGCCGCGGUGAAUACGUUCCCGGGCCUUGUACACACCGCCCGUCACACCACGAGAGUUUGUAACACCCGAAGUCGGUGAGGUAACCUUUUAGGG